rnacentral:rRNA from 1 species
CGGUAAAACCAGCACCUCAAGUGUCAGGAUGAUUAUUGGGCUAAGCAUCCGUAGCCUGUUCUGUAAGUUUCCGGUUAAAUCCAUACGCUCAACGUAUGGGCUGUCGGAAAUACUGCAGAACUAGGGAGUGGGAGAGGUAGACGUACUCGAUAGGAAGAGGUAAAAUUCUUUGAUCUAUUGAUGACCACCUGUGGCGAAGGCGGUCUACCAGAACACGUUCGACGGUGAGGGAUGAAAGCUGGGGGAGCAAACCGGAUUAGAUACCCGGGUAGUCCCAGCUGUAAACGAUGCAAACUAGGUGAUGCGUUGGCUUGUUGCUAGCGCAGUGCCUCAGGGAAGCCGUUAAGUUUGCCGCCUGGGAAGUACGUACGCAAGUAUGAAACUUAAAGGAAUUGGCGGGGGAGCACCACAAGGGGUGAAGCCUGCGGUUCAAUUGGAGUCAACGCCUGAAACCUUACCCGGAGAGACAGCAGAAUGAAGGUCAAGCUGAAGACUUUACCAGACAAGCUGAGAGGUGGUGCAUGGCCGUCGCCAGCUCGUGCCGUGAGAUGUCCUGUUAAGUCAGGUAACGAGCGAGAUCCCUGCCCUUAGUUGCCACUAUUACUCUCAGGAGUAAUAGGGCGAAUUAAGGGGACCGCCGCAGUUAAUGCGGAGGAAGGAAGGGGCCACGGCAGGUCAGUAUGCCCCGAAACUCUGGGGCCACACGCGGGCUGCAAUGGUAACGACAAUGAGUUUCAAAAUCGAAAGAUGGAGGCAAUCUCUAAACGUUACCACAGUUAUGAUUGAGGGCUGCAACUCGCCCUCAUGAAUAUGGAAUCCCUAGUAACCGCGUGUCAUUAUCGCGCAGUGAAUACGUCCCUGCUCCUUGCACACACCGCCCGUCGUUUCAUUGAAGUUUGCCUUUAGCGAGGUGAUGUCUAAUUGGCAUAAUCGAGCUUUGGUAAUGAACAGG